UAACGAAUAUUCCGCAAUGGGCGAAAGCCUGACGGAGCAAUGCCGCGUGCAGGAUGAAGCGGUUUCGCCGUGUAAACUGCUGUCAGGUCCUAGGAACACUGACCGGGACCAGAGGAAGGGUCGGCUAACUCUGUGCCAGCAGCCGCGGUAAUACAGAGGACCCGAGCGUUAAUCGGAAUCACUGGGCUUAAAGGGUGCGUAGGCGGACCCGAAGGUGCAUCGUGAAAUCCCUUGGCUCAACCAAGGAAUUGCGGUGCAUACCACGGGUCUUGAGGCAAGUAAGGGCGGUCGGAACGCUCGGUGGAGCGGUGAAAUGCGUAGAUAUCGAGCGGAACGCCGAAGGUGAAGACAGGCCGCUGGGCUUGACCUGACGCUGAGGCACGAAAGCGUGGGGAUCAAA
rnacentral:rRNA from 1 species